rnacentral:rRNA from 1 species
CCUACGGGAGGCAGCAGUGGGGAAUAUUGCACAAUGGGGGAAACCCUGAUGCAGCGACGCCGCGUGAGUGAAGAAGUAUUUCGGUAUGUAAAGCUCUAUCAGCAGGGAAGAAAAUGACGGUACCUGAUUAAGAAGCCCCGGCUAACUACGUGCCAGCAGCCGCGGUAAUACGUAGGGGGCAAGCGUUAUCCGGAUUUACUGGGUGUAAGGGGAGCGUAGACGGCAGCACAAGUCUGGAGUGAAAUGCCGGGGCUUAACCCCGGAACUGCUUUGGAAACCGUGCAGCUAGAGUGCAGGAGAGGUAAGUGGAAUUCCUAGUGUAGCGGUGAAAUGCGUAGAUAUUAGGAGGAACACCAGUGGCGAAGGCGGCUUACUGGACUGUAACUGACGUUGAGGCUCGAAAGCGUGGGGAGCAAACAGGAUUAGAUACCCCAGUAGUC